UCCGGUUGAUCCUGCCGGACCCUACUGCUAUCGGGAUGGGACUAAGACAUGCUAGUCGUGCGCUUCUAAGCCAUGGUGGAGGCGCGGCGCACAGCUCAGUAACACGUGGUUAACCUGCCCUUGGGACGGAAACACCCCCGGGAAACUGGGGCUAAUUUCCGAUAGGUGAAGACUCCUGGAAUGGAUCUUCGCCUAAAGGGCGCUUAGGCCAUGCUUCUAGGCGCUGCCCAAGGAUGGGACCGCGGCCGAUCAGGUUGUUGGUGAGGUAAUGGCUCACCAAGCCUUUAACCGGUUCGGGCCGUGGGAGCGGGAGCCCGGAGAUGGGCACUGAGACAAGGGCCCAGGUCCUACGGGGCGCAGCAGUCGCGAAAACUCCGCAAUACGCGAAGGCGUGACGGGGCUAUCCCGAGUGCCGUCCGCUGAGGAUGGCUUUUCCCCAGUGUAGAUAGCUGGGGGAAUAAGGAGAGGGCAAGUCUGGUGUCAGCCGCCGCGGUAAUACCAGCUCUCCGGGUGGUGGGGACGUUUAUUGGGCCUGAAGCAUCCGUAGCCAGCUGAGCAAGUCCCCAGUUAAAUCCAGCGAUUUAAUCGUUGGACUGCUGGGG
rnacentral:rRNA from 1 species